GAUGAACGCUGGCGGCGUGCCUAAUACAUGCAAGUCGAGCGAACGGACGAGAAGCUUGCUUCUCUGAUGUUAGCGGCGGACGGGUGAGUAACACGUGGAUAACCUACCUAUAAGACUGGGAUAACUUCGGGAAACCGGAGCUAAUACCGGAUAAUAUUUUGAACCGCAUGGUUCAAAAGUGAAAGACGGUCUUGCUGUCACUUAUAGAUGGAUCCGCGCUGCAUUAGCUAGUUGGUAGGUAACGGCUUACCAAGGCAACGAUGCAUAGCCGACCUGAGAGGGUGAUCGGCCACACUGGAACUGAGACACGGUCCAGACUCCUACGGGAGGCAGCAGUAGGGAAUCUUCCGCAAUGGGCGAAAGCCUGACGGAGCAACGCCGCGUGAGUGAUGAAGGUCUUCGGAUCGUAAAACUCUGUUGUUAGGGAAGAACAUAUGUGUAAGUAACUGUGCACAUCUUGACGGUACCUAAUCAGAAAGCCACGGCUAACUACGUG
rnacentral:rRNA from 1 species